rnacentral:lncRNA from 1 species
GGACUUGAAUUUUUGCUGUGGGAAUGUGAAAAACACGGGAAGCUGCUCUCUGCCAAGUUAUUUCCCCAAGGAUCUGCUUUACAUACUGACAAUCAAUGACCUGUCAGGUGUAGUUAUGCACCAUAGCAAUGAUAUGAGGUCAAUCAGAUGAAACCAAGACAUUUUGAAUUCAUCUGUUGAUUUUCUGUGCUGCAAGACCAGCAUGUGAAUCAUGUCAGCAACUGCACUCCAUGUUUCAAAAACAUGUAAAAACAUUACAGUUCUUCAAACAGAAGAAGCAGAGAUCUGGAUCCCCAGUGGAGUGCUGGAAAAAGAACACAAAGCAAGGAAGUACCAGAUCCAGUUGCCUUUCUCCUUCCUGCCACUCCAGAGCCUUGCUGUAGGAGCAGAUUGGGCUGCUCCAAACCAGCUGGCAGAGAAAAGCAUCCAUUUGACAGGCGGGCAGAGCGGCAAAGGGGAGCUGGAGGCUGGAGAGGACCGCGCUCUCCAGGGGAGAUGCAGGUUUUUGGCAAGCUGCAGCCUGCCCUCAGAGUGCACCUGCCCACAGUGAGGGGCUGAGGGGACAGCCUGCAGCAGGGCAGAAAGAGCUGGGGGCCACGUCCUCAGCUGCUGCCUGCUCCAGUGGGACAGUGAAAGAUGGCCAACUACUCACAUCUCCAGAGAUCAAGCCCCUACUGGAGCCUUUCCUUCUAUUCCCAGGGCUGCUCAGUGCCCUGUGGCCUGCAGCUUCAUGCUACUCCACUGUUUCCCUCCCAAAAACCCUGGUAGAGUGGAGUUGUGCUGGCUGCCCAUCUCCCUGCAGAAGACACUGCGUGCUGCCUCCCCGAGCUGUGUCUCGUCCAGGUGCCAUAGCCUAAAUGACAGCUUGUGGGGCCACUGGGGUAAAAUGCUGCCCAUCCAGCCUAUCAAGGGACCCUGUUUUACCCAUUUGGUCCUCAAUGGGGAAUAAAUGUUCAUUGAAAUGACA